rnacentral:lncRNA from 1 species
AAAAGAUGAUCAAGGAUGGAGCUCCCCAGGAGGGCUUGGCCGUGGGGGAAUGGUCAAGAAGAAAAAAAGAAAGGGGCAAGUCAAAGGGACGAUCAAAGUUCUGAAAGACCAGAAGCAAGAAAGAGACUCGGUGCUACAAGUGCAAUGAGAUCGGACACUUCAAGCGAGAUUGCCCGUAGUGGAAAAGCAAGAAGGGAGACAAGGGAGGAUCUGAUGCGCUGAGUAUGGUGGCUGAUCAAGAGAUGGAGGAUGAUCUCUUGGUGGUG